CUUUUCAUCUUAUGUAAUUACUGUGGAGCAGUGGGUUUCUGGAAUUUCAACAUAGGAUGAAAGACCUUGUCAAAAUAUUCAAUCGUAAUACAUUUGGUUGAACUUUUACACAUAAUUAAAAUGUCAAAGUGAUCUUCCAGAAGAGUAAAACAGACGGGUUAUCUUUAGACUAGAUUGCCAGGAAUCACGUGUUGCCAUAUCUCCAUGGUGGUGGGUGGCUAGAAGUGCACGUAGAUGUUGAACGUCGCAUCUGUGAGGACGGCCCGAGCGUGUGGGUGGGUGUCCGUGCGCAUACACAGAUAAACACAGAGCUAUUCCCAGGGAGAACGUACCGGAUUGCUUGGCUGGACUUGCUUCAUAGAAUCUGUAUGAGUCACAGGUGGAUUUCAUAAUCCCCUGUUCUAGAGACACGCAGUACCCAUUUUUAGAGUAAAAGAAAAAUGAAACUCACACAGGUUCCUUCCUGUCUUGCUGGAAGCUGCUUCUGAGACCAUUUUUGCUUUUUUGCCCCUGUUUCCCAGUCUCCAAAUUAUAGGGUCCUACGGGGCUCUUUCCCUAUACUGCUCCCUGCCACGUGUGUAUUUCUUCCUCAGGUGACCCUGUCUAUUUCCACUACCGAAAUACUGCAGAGUGGAGGACUCUGAGACGCCCAGCUUCCGUCGCAAGCUCCAGACUCAGGCAUCCUGACAUUACCAUCUAGAUCCCUAAAUGGAAGAUUCCAUUUCAAACAUCCAGAUCGGGGGCACCUGGGUGGCUCAGUCAGUUAAUGCUCGUUUCGAACCUGUGCUGUAUCAGGGAAUGAAAAACUCUUCCUCUACCCUUCUAGAUCUUCCGGCCGGACAAAGAAUCACAUCCACACGAGGUAGGUUC
rnacentral:lncRNA from 1 species